rnacentral:tRNA from 1 species
GCCGGGGUGAUGGAAUGGUAGACAUAGGGGACUUAAAAUCCCCAGGCAGAAAUGCCGUGCGGGUUCAAUUCCCGCCCUCGGUACCA